GCGAUUAGGGCCGUUAUUAGCGUUAUUAGCGGGCUAUUAGGGCUAAUAGGGCCGCUAUUAGGGCUAAUAGGGCUGUUAUUAGGGUAAUAGGGCUGGUAUUAGGGGUAUUAGGGCCGUUAUUAGCGUUAUUAGCCCGUUACUAGGGCUAAUAGGGCCGGUAUUAGGGUAAUAGGGCCAUUAUUAGGGCUAAUAGGGCCAGUAUUAGGGGUAAUAGGGCCGGUAUUAGGGCUAAUAGGGCCUGUAUUAGGGUAAUAGGGCUGGUAUUAGGGCUAAUAUGGUUGCUAAUAGGGGUAUUAGGGCUGUUAUUAGCAUUAUUAGCCCGGUAUUAGGGCUAAUAGGGCCGCUAUUAGGGCUAAUAGGGCUGUUAUUAGGGUAAUAGGGCUGUUAUUAGGGGUAUUAGGGCCGUUAUUAGCAUUAUUAGCCCGUUAUUAGGGGUAAUAGGGCUGUUAUUAGCGUUAUUAGCCUGUUACUAGGGCUAAUAGGGCCGCUAUUAGGGCUAACAGGGCUGUUAUUAGGGCUAAUAGGGCUGUUAUUAGGGAAUUACUAGGGGUUUGGGGGGAGUUAUUAGGGUUAUUAGGGGAUUAUUAGGGGUAAUAGGGCAUUUAUUAGGAAGAUUAGGGCCGUUAUUAGCGUUAUUAGCUGGUUAUUAGGGCUAAUAGGGCGAUUAUUAGGGCUAAUAGGGAGCUUAUUAGGGUUAUUAAUUGUUAACUAGUGCUAAUAGGGCGGUUAUUAGGGCUAA